CUGGGAGGACCAUCUCCUAAGGCUAAAUACUCUCUAGUGACCGAUAGUGAACCAGUACCGUGAGGGAAAGGUGAAAAGCACCCCGGAAGGGGAGUGAAAUAGAACCUGAAACCGUGUGCUUACAAGUAGUCAGAGCCCGUUAAUGGGUGAUGGCGUGCCUUUUGUAGAAUGAACCGGCGAGUUACGAUUUGAUGCAAGGUUAAGCAGUAAAUGUGGAGCCGUAGCGAAAGCGAGUCUGAAUAGGGCGUUUAGUAUUUGGUCGUAGACCCGAAACCAGGUGAUCUACCCUUGGUCAGGUUGAAGUUCAGGUAACACUGAAUGGAGGACCGAACCGACUUACGUUGAAAAGUGAGCGGAUGAACUGAGGGUAGCGGAGAAAUUCCAAUCGAACCUGGAGAUAGCUGGUUCUCUCCGAAAUAGCUUUAGGGCUAGCCUCAAGUGAUGAUUAUUGGAGGUAGAGCACUGUUUGGACGAGGGGCCCCUCUCGGGUUACCGAAUUCAGACAAACUCCGAAUGCCAAUUAAUUUAACUUGGGAGUCAGAACAUGGGUGAUAAGGUCCGUGUUCGAAAGGGAAACAGCCCAGACCACCAGCUAAGGUCCCAAAAUAUAUGUUAAGUGGAAAAGGAUGUGGCGUUGCCCAGACAACUAGGAUGUUGGCUUAGAAGCAGCCAUCAUUUAAAGAGUGCGUAAUAGCUCACUAGUCGAGUGACACUGCGCCGAAAAUGUACCGGGGCUAAACAUAUUACCGAAGCUGUGGAUUGUCCUUUGGACAAUGGUAGGAGAGCGUUCU
rnacentral:rRNA from 1 species